GAUGAACGCUAGCUACAGGCUUAACACAUGCAAGUCGAGGGGCAGCAUGGUCUUAGCUUGCUAAGGCCGAUGGCGACCGGCGCACGGGUGAGUAACACGUAUCCAACCUGCCGUCUACUCUUGGACAGCCUUCUGAAAGGAAGAUUAAUACAAGAUGGCAUCAUGAGUUCACAUGUUCACAUGAUUAAAGGUAUUCCGGUAGACGAUGGGGAUGCGUUCCAUUAGAUAGGAGGCGGGGUAACGGCCCACCUAGUCUUCGAUGGAUAGGGGUUCUGAGAGGAAGGUCCCCCACAUUGGAACUGAGACACGGACCAAACUCCUACGGGAGGCAGCAGUGAGGAAUAUUGGUCAAUGGGCGAGAGCCUGAACCAGCCAAGUAGCGUGAAGGAUGACUGCCCUAUGGGUUGUAAACUUCUUUUAUAAAGGAAUAAAGUCGGGUAUGUAUACCCGUUUGCAUGUACUUUAUGAAUAAGGAUCGGCUAACUCCGUG
rnacentral:rRNA from 1 species